rnacentral:misc_RNA from 1 species
GCAGCAAACUCGCGAGAGCUAGCAAAUCCCAUAAACCGUGGCUCAGUUCAGAUCGUAGGCUGCAACUCGCCUACGUGAAGUAGGAAUCGCUAGUAAUCGCAGGUCAGCAUACUGCGGUGAAUACGUUCCCGGGCCUUGUACACACCGCCCGUCACACCAUGGAAGUUGGCCAUGCCCGAAGUCGUUACUCCAACCCUUGUGGAGGAGGACGCCGAAGGUGGGGCUAAUGACUGGGGUGAAGUCGUAACAAGGUAGCCGUACCGGAAGGUGCGGCUGGAUCACCUCCUAACAGGGAGACAACAAAAUGUUUAAUAUUAUUAUUUUGUCACCUUAGGUCGAUCGGUAUCUCACUUCUUAAUUUAUUAAGGAUUUCAUUUCCUAAGUUUUCUAGGUCACACCCAUUAUUUUUCCUGGGCCAUUAGCUCAGGUGGUUAGAGCGCACCCCUGAUAAGGGUGAGGUCCCUGGUUCAAGUCCAGGAUGGCCCAUAUCUCUAUGUUGGGGGUAUAGCUCAGUUGGUAGAGCGCCUGCUUUGCAAGCAGGAUGUCAGCGGUUCGAGUCCGCUUACCUCCACUGAUUACCACCUCUUCCAUAAUCUGAAGAAAGGAAAAGUUUUGAGUUGUGAUCAUAUUUCUGAACGAAUCUAGCAUCCUAAUGAAAUGAUUAAGAUGCUGGACUCAUUGAAUUAAUUUCAUUGUUUUCAGAGAACCUUGACAACUGCAUAGAUUAUUUUUAAAGACAAUAAGCAUCUUUUAAUGAUGCAGAUUUAUUAUUUGUGCAAAUGCAUUAAUAACAAUUCUAUUAAGCUGAUGCUUCAAUUUUGAAGUUAUUGGUCAAGCUACAAAGGGCUCACGGAGGAUACCUAGGCACACAGAGGCGAUGAAGGACGUGGUUACCUGCGAUAAGUCUCGGGGAGUUG